rnacentral:misc_RNA from 1 species
UACGGAGGGAGCUAGCGUUGUUCGGAAUAACUGGGCGUAAAGCGCGCGUAGGUGGUUGGGUCAGUCAGAUGUGAAAGCCCCGGGCUCAACCUGGGAACUGCAUCCAAAACUGGCAAGCUAGAGUACGGUAGAGGGUGGUGGAAUUUCCUGUGUAGCGGUGAAAUGCGUAGAUAUAGGAAGGAACACCAGUGGCGAAGGCGACCACCUGGACUGAUACUGACACUGAGGUGCGAAAGCGUGGGGAGCAAACAGG